rnacentral:rRNA from 1 species
UACGGAGGGUGCGAGCGUUGUCCGGAAUCACUGGGCGUAAAGGCGCGUAGGCGGCCGAUCAAGUCAGAUGUGAAAGUCCUGGGCUUAACCUGGGGACUGCAUUUGAUACUGAUUGGCUUGAAUGCAGGAGAGGAUAGCGGAAUUCCCAGUGUAGAGGUGAAAUUCGUAGAUAUUGGGAAGAACACCGGUGGCGAAGGCGGCUAUCUGGACUGUGAUUGACGCUGAGGCGCGAAAGCCGUGGGGAGCAAACAGG